rnacentral:rRNA from 1 species
AUCCCCUAAUACAAGUUUGGAUUGACUUGGCGUAAUAGACUAUUCGCUAAGGAUUCGGUGGAAACAUCGAGCCCAGCUGUAUUAAGGAAGCUCCUAAUUUAAAAGUCUACCUUUUGAUUAGAUCUCAAAUCAGGCAGGAUUACCCGCUGAACUUAAGCAUAUCAAUAAGCGGAGGAAAAGAAACUAACAAGGAUUCCCCUAGUAGCGGCGAGCGAAGCGGGAAAAGCUCAAAUUUGUAAUCUGGCGCCUUCGGCGUCCGAGUUGUAAUCUCGAGAAGUGUUUUCCGUGAUAGACCGCAUACAAGUCUCUUGGAACAGAGCGUCAUAGUGGUGAGAACCCAGUACACGAUGCGGAUGCCUAUUACUUUGUGAUACACUUUCGAAGAGUCGAGUUGUUUGGGAAUGCAGCUCAAAUUGGGUGGUAAAUUCCAUCUAAAGCUAAAUAUUGGCGAGAGACCGAUAGCGAACAAGUACCGUGAGGGAAAGAUGAAAAGCACUUUGGAAAGAGAGUUAACAGUACGUGAAAUUGUUGGAAGGGAAACACAUGCAGUGAUACUUGCUAUUCGGGGCAACUCGAUUGGCAGGCCCGCAUCAGUUUUUCGGGGCGGAAAAUCAUAGAGAGAAGGUAGCAGUCUCGGCUGUGUUAUAGCUCUUUAUUGGAUUCGCCCUGGGGGACUGAGGAACGCAGCGUGCUUUUUGCAUGA